GAUGAACGCUGGCGGCGUGCCUAAUACAUGCAAGUCGAGCGAACAGACGAGGAGCUUGCUCCUCUGACGUUAGCGGCGGACGGGUGAGUAACACGUGGAUAACCUACCUAUAAGACUGGGAUAACUUCGGGAAACCGGAGCUAAUACCGGAUAAUAUAUUGAACCGCAUGGUUCAAUAGUGAAAGACGGUUUUGCUGUCACUUAUAGAUGGAUCCGCGCCGCAUUAGCUAGUUGGUAAGGUAACGGCUUACCAAGGCGACGAUGCGUAGCCGACCUGAGAGGGUGGUCGGCCGCACUGGAACUGAGACACGGUCCAGACUCCUACGGGAGGCAGCAGUAGGGAAUCUUCCGCAAUGGGCGAAAGCCUGACGGAGCAACGCCGCGUGAGUGAUGAAGGUCUUCGGAUCGUAAAACUCUGUUAUUAGGGAAGAACAAAUGUGUAAGUAACUAUGCACGUCUUGACGGUACCUAAUCAGAAAGCCACGGCUAACUACGUG
rnacentral:rRNA from 1 species